AGGGAAGCGGGAGCCGCAGGAGCAAAGUGAGCCGCAGAGGUGGCGAGGACCUGGAUCAGUGUGACGGCCCCUUUCUCCUCUCACAUGUAAUACAGGGACCGCCUGUGAAGGCCCGUGCCUCUAAGGAGAACCCUCCGCGCACAGAGCCCAGAAGACGCAGCCACAGCUCCUGCCCCCGAAGAAACGCCCUUACCAGCCCCAGCAGCUCCACCCGUUUCCACGCCAGGCUGCCCGGGGUCCUCAAAGACAGUGAGCCCGCAGGCCCCUCGGGCUCCCAGAGGAAAGGAGCCCCCGCACCCGCGGGGCAACACCCCAGGACGCUCGCGGCCUCUGACAGCUCCAGGCCCUAAGACGCAAGGUUCCUCUGCUGCCAGGCGCGCAUAGGCGCAGGUCCAGGGGGCAAAUGCUGGCCUGAAACACAGCUUUCUCCAGAAGUAGCCCUGCCCAUCUUCCUCCCGCCUGGCCUGUGUGAGCUGGAGCUGUACAAGGCAACUCGAGCCUCGCCCUCUGCGGUCCAGGAGCACACUGGGCGCCGGCCGCAGCCCCCCAUCCCGGCCCUGCCCUGUGUUCCCCCAGAGCCCGCUGCUUGAGGCUGGUGUCCCAUCACAAUGGUGGCAA